GGUCGGUUAGUGUAGUUGGUUAUCACAUCGGAUUCUGAUUCUUCAUCACGCCUUCCGGUAACCGGGGUUCGAAUCCCCGACUGACCU
rfam:Pestalotiopsis fici W106-1 unplaced genomic scaffold PFICI_Scf_7, whole genome shotgun sequence.